CAUUAAAACAUGGAAUCAUCUCAAUUUUCAUGAGCCUCUUUCUGCACUUUUUUUUUUGCCUUGUCGGGUCAUCUGUCGCCUCGCUUUUCACCUCGGCUCUGCUUAGUGCUAUAGGAAGCGAUUGGGUGUCCCCGCCUUCUACCCUGCAGGCCUGCCCGCCCACCGCCGUGGAGUUGCUCAGCCUCGUGCGACGCAGGAGCCAAGGAAUGCCCCCUGCCGGAAACAGUUGCUCACAUGCAGCACUUCCCCGGUCAAGCUGCAGGCAGAGAAAUCAACACCAAGUUCGUUAGGGGAAGGCGGACGAAGGACGCAGAAGAGAACGACGAGGCGCUCGGUUGUGCCAAGGGUCUCGGGAAGCGGUCGCCUAAAACUCUCCGGCAGGAAGAGCAUCGUCACGAUGGAGAGCAUGGCCAGAGUGCCCAAAGUGAUGUAAG